rnacentral:rRNA from 1 species
AUCUGGAAUGCCAGAAUCCCAUUGAAAAUUCAAAUUUUUUUAUGGCAGUUAUUUUAGAAUGUUGUCUUGACUAGAGAUGUGAUGAAACAUCGAGGAUGGAAAGGGAAACCUAAGUGCUCCUUUUGUGGGGGGCGGGAGACCUCGCAACACUUGUUUUUUACAUGUCUAGUUGCUAGGGUGACCUGGAGAACAGUUGCAUGCAUGUUUGGCACUGCACUAUGCCCCGACAGUAUUUGGCAAGCUUAUGUGUGGUGCUUUACCUUUUUCCCUAGAGGAGAAGAGUUUUACACAACAAGGAUUGUGGCUGUGUGUUGGGCGGUAUGGUCUUGUCGCAAUAGAGCUACUUUUGAAUUCAAACCUAUUAAAAACCCGUUUGAAUGCAUCUUUUCUGCUUGUGCUUCACUGUGUUACUGGGCAGGGCUACUGAAGCAAGAGGACACUGCAAUCAUGAGGGAUGGGGCAAAGAUGUUGAAGGAGAACACAUCGAUGAUGAUGAGAAUCUGCGCGACAAGUCAGGAGGGAGUGGCGCGCUGA